UACGAAGGUCCCGAGCGUUGUUCGGAUUUACUGGGCGUAAAGAGUCUGUAGGCGGUAAAGUAAGUCAGAUGUGAAAUCCCGAAGCUCAACUUCGGAACUGCAUCCGAUACUGCUUUACUAGAGUAUUGGAGGGGGAACUGGAAUUCUCGGUGUAGCAGUGAAAUGCGUAGAUAUCGAGAGGAACACUAGUGGCGAAGGCG
rnacentral:rRNA from 1 species